AAUAUUCAGUCUGAAUCGACUAUUCGUCUUGAGCAAAUUGUGAGCUUGUCAAAAAAAAAUAAAUAAAUAAAAGAAAAGUAUAAAAUAAAAAUAAUUUGUUUUGUGCGGUUUUCGGAAAUAAAAGCUAAAAGUAAUUCGAUAAAAUGCGUCCAUCACCGACCAACUACAGCGAUUCUUCGCGCAUCGAGCGUCAGCGCACGCGUGCCAUACUGAGGGGACUCAGGCUGUCGAAGAGGGUUCGACGCGCCUUGCGUAACUUCUUGAAGGAGCUGGUAACGCUUCAGAUUGUCAUCAGCGAUUUUCAGAUGUUAUCUAACCAACUGAGUGUACAGACCGACUAAUUCUAAUUCUAUAACCAAAUACACACAUUUACACUGAAAAAAACAUAGUUCAGACAGCAUUUUCAGUGUUCACAUAAAAAUUGCAUACAGAGAGAAAGAUCGACCAUUUUCAAAUGUCAGCUGACUAAUUAAAUAUUGAGUAAGAUUAGCUCUAAUUCUAUAACGAAAUACGCACUUUUGCAAUAAUUUACACAGAAAUAAAACUCUUCACAUAGUUCAGACAGUUUUUUCCGUGGCCACUUUAAAAUUGCGAAAUUAACCGUUUUCAAGCAUCUCGGGCGAAAAAACUUAAGUACAGAAAAACAGAUUGACAAUUUUUUAGAGGAUUAGAUUAGUUAGUGGAGAGACCACUCAACAUAUUUUAAAGCUGAUGCUCUAAGAAGUAUCUAUAGCAAAUUUUAGGCUUUGACUUCACUGCGAGCUGCUCAUACGAAAUUAUCAACCAUAGUAACUAUUGGGUAUAUGUCAUAAAAAAAUCGAUAACAAUUUUCAUGCAACAUGGAAACUUAUUGAUAUUUUCCUUCGCAUCCAAGUGGGCUGUGAAAAAAUUCCUAUAUCCCAGCGCAGAGAACAAAAAACUUUCAGUCUGAAUCGACUACUCGUCUAGAGCACAUUGUGAGCUUGUGAAAAAAAAGGAAAAAAUAAUAAUUAAAAAUAUAAAAAUAAAUAAUUUUUUUUUCGCGCGAUUUUCGGAAAUAAAAGCUAAAAGUAAUUCGAUAAAAUGCGUCCAUCACCGUUUAACUACAGCAAUUCUUCGCGUUCACGUGGCACGUUGGGGGGAGUCAGGCUGUCGAAGAAGGCUCGUCGCGCUUUGCAGAACUUCUUGAAGGAGCUGGUAGCGCUUCAGAUUGUCAUCGACAAUUUUCAGAUGUUAUCUAACCACUUGGAGGAGGAGACCGCCGAUUAGUUCUUAUUCUAUAAAGAAAUGCACGCUUUUGCUACAAUUUACACCGAAAAAAAAAACUGUUCAGGCAGCAUUUUCGUGGCCACGUGAAAAUUACAAAAUUAAGCAUCUCCGGCAAAAAACAAGCUUAAAUACAGAAAAAAUGUUAGACAAUUUUCAGAUGUCAGCUGACUAAUUGAAUAUUGAGGAAGAUUACACAUAUUUACACCGAAAAAAAAAAACAUAGUUCAGACAGCUCAUACUCUUUCCAGCAAAUAAAAUUGGAUAAUUAGGCAUCUCGCGCAAGACACAAACUUAAACACAGAAAAAAAGGUCAACAAUUUUCAGAUGUCAGCUGACAUUGAAUACAGAUGAAGACUAUUUCUAAUUAUAUAACGAAAAACACAGUUUUGCUACAAUUUACACCGAGAAAAGAACUUUUCACAUAGUUUAGGCAGAUUUUCCGUGGCCACUUUCAAAUUACGAGCUUAAUCGUUUUUAAGCAUCUUUGACAAGAAACAAACUUAAACACAGAAAAAAAGAUCGACAAUUUUAAAAUGUCAGCUGACAUUGAAUACGAAUGAAGACUUUUUUUAAUUCUAUAACGAAAAACACACUUUUGCUACAUUUUACACCGAGAAAAGAACUUUUCACAUAGUUUAGGCAGCUUUUUCCGUGGCCACUUUAAAAUUGCGAAAUUAACCGUUUUCAAGCAUCUCGGCCCCAAGAAACUAACUUAAAUACAGAAGAAAACACGAUGUUUGCCGCUUGCUCAGCAAAUACGCUUGACACUGAGAUUACCAAUUCAAGAACACGAGGAGAACACUAGGCAAAAGUCACGGCUGCUUAUCAACACUUGUUCAAAUAAAUGUUCGAAAAAUUUAACAAAACAGAGCAGAACAACACAAAACAAGAGCAGAACAAUUCAUAAAACAAUAAAGAAUGAGUUAAAGAUACACAAAAUA